rnacentral:rRNA from 1 species
GUGAGGAAUAUUGGUCAAUGGGCGCAAGCCUGAACCAGCCAUCCCGCGUGCAGGAAGACGGCGCUAUGCGUUGUAAACUGCUUUUCCAGGGAGAGAAACUUGCGCACGUGUUGCGCAAUUGACGGUACCCUGGGAAUAAGCAUCGGCUAACUCCGUGCCAGCAGCCGCGGUAAUACGGAGGAUGCGAGCGUUAUCCGGAUUCAUUGGGUCUAAAGGGUGCGUAGGCGGACUAUUAAGUCAGUGGUGAAAUCCUGCAGCUUAACUGCAGAACUGCAAUUGAUACUGAUAGCCUUGAGUUUGGUUAAGGUAGGCGGAAUGUGUAAUGUAGCGGUGAAAUGCUUAGAUAUUACACAGAACACCAAUUGCGUAGGCAGCUUACUGAGCCGACACUGACGCUGAGGCACGAAAGCGUGGGGAUCGAACAGGAUUAGAAACCCUGGUAGUCC